GACGUAGGGGGCAAGCGUUGUCCGGAAUCAUUGGGUUUAAAGGGUCCGUAGGCGGUUUAGUAAGUCAGUGGUGAAAGCCCAUCGCUCAACGGUGGAACGGCCAUUGAUACUGCUAGACUUGAAUUAUUGGGAAGUAACUAGAAUAUGUAGUGUAGCGGUGAAAUGCUUAGAGAUUACAUGGAAUACCAAUUGCGAAGGCAGGUUACUACCAAUAUAUUGACGCUGAUGGACGAAAGCGUGGGGAGCGAACAGG
rnacentral:rRNA from 1 species